GGGGCGCGCUGGGAGCCCGGCGCGGGGAUUGCUGCCGCACAUCGCCCGCAGUCCUCGGGCUCGGGUGGGGACGGCCGGUCCGGCCGGGCACAGCGCCGGGCACAGCGGGGCUCCCCGGGGAAGGCGCUGAGGACAUGCCCGGCCAAGGGCCCGGAGUGCUCGUAUGCCCCCAGAACUCCUGGAACUCUGAUCAUGGUAGAAACCUGAUUCUGCUCUGGCUGCUCAACGACACUUGGCAGCAUCUACAGGUGCACCUCAAGGAACCUCGACUGCAAGAGAGAUUUGUUCUGUUUCAGUAUUGACUCCAUUGACAGCUGUAUUCUAGGGACCCCAGGAAAGCAAGCUGUUAUUCACGAGGAACCUCUGACUCUUGAAAGUCGAGCUGUCUUGCAGGAGGUGCUGGAAAAGGUGGAUGUGCCAUUCAAAGCCCUGGAGGCAGGGCUGAGCACCGGCGAGCCGCGCGUGGCUGCUCUGCACAGGGGGCGUGGCAGGAAACACUCGCUGAGUGCCGGAGGAGCGAACGGGAGCCUUGGCCCUGCCAUCCUCUGGGAGCUGCGGGGACACUGCAAGCACUGGCAAAGAGCCGAGAGCCAUGGGAGCAGCGCUGAGCGAGGCUGUGUCCCAGCCAAGGAGUUCCUCCUGUGUCCCUUAAGAGGAUACCCCAGGGCUGGUUUUCUGCAUCAAGACUUCUGAUCAGACCAUCUGUAGACCUCUGGCUUAAUACUGUACCUGCUGAGAGGCUGAGGUGAGACCAGGAUCUGUAAAAUCCCUGACUCUC